CCUACGGGUGGCAGCAGUGAGGAAUAUUGGGCAAUGGGCGAGAGCCUGAACCAGCCAAGUCGCGUGAAGGAUGACGGCCCUACGGGUUGUAAACUUCUUUUGUCAGGGAGCAAUUGAGUCCACGUGUGGGCUUAGCGAGAGUACCUGAAGAAAAAGCAUCGGCAAACUCCGUGCCAGCAGCCGCGGUAUUACGGAGUAUGCGAGCGUUAUCCGGAUGUAGUGGGUUAAAAGGGUGCGUAGGCGGAAUAUCAAGUCAGCGGUAAAAUUGAGAGGCUAAACCUCUUCGAGCCGUUGAAACUGGUUUGCUUGAGUGAGCGAGAAGUAUGCGGAAUGCCUGGUGUAGCGGUGAAAUGCAUAGAUAUCACGCAGAACACCGAUUGCGAAGGCAGCAUACCGGCGCUCAACUGACGCUCAUGCACGAAAGUGUGGGUAUCGAACAGGAUUAGAUACCCCAGUAGUC
rnacentral:rRNA from 1 species